UUAUGUUGAUGCUUUUCCCAAUGAGUAAUAUGGUCAUGCACACUGCUACCUGCUUUCACUUAUCUUUUGUUUUUUUAAGGAUUGCGCAAUUUUUUUUUUGGGUUCCAAGGUAGAUGGGUCACAUGCUUAUUGAAUAAAUUAAUAUGAGGAGUUUUGGAAUUCAAAAUGUGUAAAAGGAAUUCAACAUCGUAAAUCAAAGUUUUGAUAGGUGUUCUUUGAUUGUAGAUGCAUUGAAUAGGCUUAUAAGAUUACUAAUCUUGCUCUUUGCCGGGGGCACUGAUAGUGUUCCCCUUCUUUGUAGCAUCUAUAAACGCACAAUUUUCCAGUUCUAGGAGGAAGUCGGUGGCUAAAAAAAUGGACUUUUAGGUUCCUGCAAUUUAUGAAUUUCAUGGUAUUUCUUACGUAGUUAAUUUUGUGAUUUACUCUAUUUGGGCAUUUGUUGCCUUUCAUUUUGCCUUUUUAGUUUGCUCCUUCAGUUAUAAACCAUUUGGCUCUCAAUUUUUUAUGAAUUGCUUCUUGUUUAGUGCUGCAAAGAAAGAGUCUUAUGUAAAUUUAAUUGAUUUCUAGAAGACAUGUUAAUGCAAGCAAAAUUUUAGGAAAUUAAGAUUGCAUAUAAAAUUGAUUUGUCUUCCUUCCAAAUGACAAAACACACUAAAUAGGACAUAACAAAGUUUUCAAUUUCUAAUAGAAACCACCUACAAGUUAUAUUAAAACAAAAAAACAACACAACUUAUAACUUAUAAUAAAACAGGACACAACACAACUUAAAACUUACAAUAGUUUUAGAAAAGAAUGAUACAAAUGGAGUGGAGACCAUGGAGAGAAGGAGAUUAGAAAGCCGAGACGAAUUAGAAGAAGAUAGCUCACAAGCUAGAUAACCCACAGGUUAUAUAUUCCAAAUAUUCAUCUCCAAAAACCUUUUUACAACAGCCCAAAACACUUCCUUUUAUAACCACAAAAGAGAGACCAAAAGACAGCCUCAACCGCCCCAAACAGCCAACCAACAAAAAGGAAAAAAAAAUGUAACAUUUAAGGCUUCCUGAAACCUAACAACCACAACAAGGAAUCAUGAUAGAAAUAGGAAACGAGGGACCCAGACAGAGGUACCGAACAACCAAGCUGGCCGGAACCGAACAGCCCAGCAGGAAGGAAACCGAACAACCCAACAGGCAAGGAACCGAACAACCAACCCAAGCAACCAAGAAUCGUCAAGCUCCCAAAUAGACCAAACCCACAUGAAUCAAACCCAAAUCAGCCCAAGGAAAAUGGACCAAGCCCAUUUAGCCAACUUCAGCCCAUAGUUAACCCGAGUAUGCAAGCCUUGCUUGCAUCACAUGUUCAAGAAGAUCAAGAUUUAAUUUUUCAUGCAUUAAGAAAGUAAAAAUUGUCUCCAAAAUAUGCUGAAGUUAUGAAAGAAUGAAUGCUGGAGCAGGGACUAUCAUAAGUAGUUGUGGAGUGGCCAAACAGUUCCUAGUCACUGUAUUAUUGCAUUAGGGAUCAAUAUUAUGGUGAACCUUUUAGAGAUACUGAAGAUGGAUAUUCAAAGAGCGGUGGUGCUUUGAGGUUGCUAUUUUCAGGCGUUAUUGUUCUAAUUAGUGAGGCUUUUGUCGGGAUAAGUGUGAAGUUGUUAGAAGGCAAGGUGCUUAAGAGCAGUAUAAAAACGAGUUCAUUUUAUAAUAUUAUUGUACUUCCUUUGUGACAGCAAAUAGAUGUUACCAAGCAUGUCUUCCUUUUAUGGGUCAAGAAAAAACUGAUUUUCCAAAAAAAAUAUUUUCAAAAAACUAUGAAAGAAGUUUUGAAGAUGCUUCACAAAGCUACUUUUUGGAAGUAUCUUCUCAACCUCUCUCAUGAAAAAAGAAGCCCAACAAAUCGAGCUUAGGUUCAGUGCAUACUUUGCAAUUUUAAUAGAUGUGUAAUUUAGAAUUAUUUGUUCUGUUAGAAAUCAAUUGAUGCCUAGAGGUGUAUAAGUUUAAGCUUUAUGAAUCAAUUAUACAAAAUAAAUAAGGAUAUAAACAUGGAUAUUACUUCUAGAGCUAUGUAGUAAAAGUGGAUGAAGAAGAAAAAUUCUUCUAGUUUUGAUUAACAUAUUAGCAUUUGUCAAGAAAAAGUCUAGCCUAAUGAACAGUAAUCAAUUCAGGAUUGUAAACUCUCCGUUCUUCACAAUUCCACAUCAGGAAUUUCUUGUUUUAUUAACUUCAUGUUAUAUUCUUCACUUUCAAGAGCCAUAGCUGCAACCUUUACAAGAUUGAAUGCAAAUCCUUCUUCCUUACAUUCAAGAACUUCAUCUACCAAGCGAUUUCAAUGAAUAUCUGCCAGAGAAGUUCCCGUCCAUUGUGCUCUAGCUCUGCACCUGCUUCUUCCUGGAUCUCCUUCACAAAAGGCACAAGAGCCUUUCAGGUUCAUAAAAUCAGUAGAGAUUAAAAACCUCUGCUAAGAACCAUGGAAUAAAGAGACGGACACAUUGAGGCGCCUCAAGUCGAGGCGGAACAUAGGCGACUCGAGGUUGAAGCCUUGAUGGCUCGGCCAAAAUGUGCGAUUUUUUCUCACGAAGCGUAUGCCUCAAAUCUUAUCGCCUCGAGGCGUAUUGAGGCGCUACCUCAAUUUAUUUGUUAUAUACCACCGAGAGAUGGAGUCGAGUAUAAUAAUUAUGGUUGGACUUGUCUGCUUCAUGUGAGUGACAGACAAUCCGGUCGACUUUGACGUACCUCGAGGCAAAGGUGAUUAUCUUUCUUCCCAUCAUUUGCUUCCUCUUCGCUUACUUUUUGCCUGCGAGUUAUUCAUGUGAGAACUGAGUGUUGAAAUCCAACUACUUCGACGACUUCAACAACCACAAUCUGGUCAACUUUGACGCACCUUGCAGCGAAGGUAACGAUUUAUUUCCCUAAUUCCCUUUUGUCUUUUGCUUCCUGUUUGCCUACUUCCCGCCUGCUACAGCAAAGGUAGCAUUUUUACCUCCUGUUCGUCGAUUGAUAAUGUUAAUUUUAUAGUUGUAUUUAUGGAUUCUUAUUUUCAUUUAAAAUAGUAUUUUUCAUUGAGUUUGAUUUUAUAUUGAUUUUAUCAAAUACAAAUUACUGUAAGUUACGAUAAUUUUUCAUUGUAUCAAACAAAGACCAAUACACAAUAAUGGAGAUAGAUAUGAGGUAAUCUCUCCUAUAAGGAGUGAAUUAAACUGCUCUCCUUCCCUUGUUAUUCUUAUUUCUUCCGUUUGGCCUAGCUCAUAACCGCAGCUUUUUUGUUCUGUCUCUCGAGUGCCUAAAUUCAGCAAAGUGGAUGCUUUCUUUAGACCCUAGCUUUAUAUGUACUUAUAUAUGUUAACAAGUAGUUUGCCGUAAUCUUAUUUCCUUUAAACAAUUCCAGCCAUCUUUUUAAACCAUUUGCCGCUGAUGUUUGUAUAAGUGAAAAUGCCAUUGCUAAGGAUACUGGUAGGUGUACAAUAAGCUAAAUAAAAUAACAGUGUUACUAAAUACUUAGGACAUUUAAUCAAAACAAAAUUAUCGUUAAUUAAUACAAAACUAAAUAUAACUAAAAAUGCCAGUCUUGGGUCUUGAUCCUGAGAGCGUGUUUUAUUUUUAAGCGAGUUUAUUUUGAAUCUUGUGUUUCAAUCAUAUUAUCUUUAAACAAAUUAUCAUGUUCAUAAUUGACUUAAUAUUUUAUCAUUUUUUGUAAUUAUUUAUUAUUUUUAAAUACUUUAUUUUUUUCGUUUGAGGCUUAAGCCUCGAUCCGCCUUGUCUCGCUUAGACAAAACGCUUCGAUCCCCGAUUUCGCCUUUUAAAACCUUGCUAAGAACAUAAUUUCUCAUGCCUUAUGCAACCAGCUAUCUCCAUCCAUCAAUCAAUCAAUAACAUAACCUCUGUCACAUCUCCUUCUCAGUAGUAGGAGAUGAAACAUCAGGUUCUUCAUUAGAACCUUUAAGUCAGUAACAAGAAAAACUAAACAAAGCAAGAGAGAUUGAGAGGGAGAGAGAAGAAUGAAUUCACUAAAAAGAGAAUGAAUUAGAAUAUCAUGAAUAAAAUGGUGGGGGAUCUAUUUAAUAUAUGAAAAAGUUUGAGGGAGAAGGUUCCUUUUACAUAAAGAGAGGCAUUGAACUUGACAGUCUGACAUGGGAUGCUGCCUAUUCAAUAUAGUGGAAUGCCUCUAUUAUAAGAAGGCUGAAAAAUAAAAGGAGAAAAAGAAAAGGAGAAGAAGAAAAGGUGCAACCUUCCCCUACCUCCAGAGAGGCUAUUUAUUGGGCAAAGGGGAGAAAUAUUUUUUUCAAGAAUAAGAAUAUUUUGGGAGGAAAAUUCUUAUAUAUAUAAUAUUCUUGAAAAAAGAGCAUUCUUAAAAAAAUGGCAUAACCGGCAGCUGGUUAUAAUCGGUUGCCAACUCAUGUUCGCAAAGGGGUGCGAGCCCCUUUAAUUGCGCUGUCGCGAC